UUUCCAGAGAUGGAUUGGGUGCCUUCGGGAACUCUGAGACAGGUGCUGCAUGGCUGUCGUCAGCUCGUGUUGUGAAAUGUUGGGUUAAGUCCCGCAACGAGCGCAACCCUUAUCCUUUGUUGCCAGCGGUUAGGCCGGGAACUCAAAGGAGACUGCCAGUGAUAAACUGGAGGAAGGUGGGGAUGACGUCAAGUCAUCAUGGCCCUUACGAGUAGGGCUACACACGUGCUACAAUGGCGCAUACAAAGAGAAGCGACCUCGCGAGAGCAAGCGGACCUCAUAAAGUGCGUCGUAGUCCGGAUUGGAGUCUGCAACUCGACUCCAUGAAGUCGGAAUCGCUAGUAAUCGUGGAUCAGAAUGCCACGGUGAAUACGUUCCCGGGCCUUGUACACACCGCCCGUCACACCAUGGGAGUGGGUUGCAAAAGAAGUAGGUAGCUUAACCUUCGGGAGGGCGCUUACCACUUUGUGAUUCAUGACUGGGGUGAAGUCGUAACAAGGUAAGCGUAGUGCU
rnacentral:rRNA from 1 species